AUUGGGGAUAUUGGUGAUCAUGAUAUUGGGUAUAUUGAUGAUAAUGUUACUGGUGAUCAUGAUACUGGGGAUAUUGAUCAUUAUAUUAGGGAUAUUGGUGAUCAUGAUAUUGGGGAUCAUAUGAUAUUGGCGAUCAUAUGAUAUUGGCGAUCAUGAUACUGGCGAUAUUGGUGAUCAUGAUACUGGGGAUAUUGGUGAUCGUGAUAUUGGUGAUCGUGAUACUGGGGAUAUUGGUGAUCGUGAUAUUGGUGAUCGUGAUACUGGGGAAUGUUGGUGAUCAUGAUAUUGGGGAUAUUGGUGAUCAUGAUACUGGUGGUAUUGGUGAUCAUGAUUUUGGGGAUCAUUAUAUUGAUGAUCAUGAUACUGGGGAUAUUAUUAAUAUUAGCAAUCGUGAUACUGGGGAUAUUGGUGAUCAUGAUACUGGGGAUAUUGGUGAACAUGAUAUUGGUGAUCAUGAUAUUGGGGAUAUUGGUGAUCAUGAUACUGGGGAUAUUGGUGAUCGUGAUAUUGGUGUUCAUGAUACUGGGGAUAUUGGUGGUCAUUAUAUUGUGGAUAUUGGUGAUCAUGAUAUUGGGUAUAUUGGUGAUAAUGUUACUGGUGAUCAUGUUACUGGGGAUAUUGAUCAUGAUAUUAGGGAUAUUGGUGAUCAUGAUAUUGGGGAUAUUUGCGAUCAUGAUACUGGGGAUAUUGGUGGUCAUGAUUUAGGGAUAUUGGUGAUCAUGAUAUUGGUGAUCAUGAUAUUGGGGAUAUUGGUGAUCAUGAUAUUGGGGAUAUUGGUGAUAAUGUUACUGGUGAUCAUGAUACUGGGGAUAUUGAUCAUUAUAUUAGGGAUAUUGGUGAUCAUUAUAUUGGGGAUAUUUGCGAUCAUGAUACUGGGGAUAUUGGUGGUCAUGAUUUAG
rnacentral:lncRNA from 13 species